UGGCAGGUUAAGUUACAGAGCAGCUGAUUCGUGCUGCGCUGUCGUUCCCCCUGCACAAAACAACCUGUUUCCUACUAUCCCUGUCUGCCUGCACCCCACGGUUUACAGGGACGCUUGGUCUCAGACAC